rnacentral:lncRNA from 1 species
UCUGAGGCACGUUAUCUGCGAGCCAGGCUGAGUUCUGCAUCCUGGGGGGCAGCACGAAGAGGUACUCGAAGGGCGAGAGAAUUGAAAUACAUCCAGGAGGACUUUUACCUGGCUUUGAAGGAAGGACGUGAUCUGCGUGAGUGCAGAGGCAGUGGGAGAGAUUCCAGGGAAAUCAGGCUCAGCCUAUAUGUAGUUGUGAGUUUGUAUGUGUGGGAUGGGGAGAGACUGGGGGAGUGCUGCGAGGGCCUCUCAUGGGAGAAAAGUGGAGAUGUCUAUUGGUCUCCAAAAGUGGGGACAGCUCACGAAGAGCUCUGGAAGCCUGGGAGACGGCCGUGGAGCAGAGAGCCGAGUGCACAGGCUGCCCCUCCCCCAGCCACCCCAGCAAAGGAUUAUCCGGCCUAAAAUGCUGAUCCUGGCGAGGCUGAGGAUCCCUGGCCUACGGCGUCACAAGUCCAUUGAAGAGCGUUGCUGAGUUGCUGGAUGGAUAGAUGCUGACUCACAGUCCCCAGCUUCUUUGAAGUCUGUGGAACUGGUUAAGAAAUGCAGGAGGCGAGAAGGACAAACUCACGGCUACAACCUGUUUGAAACCUAAUUCUGGCCACCAUCCAGGAGGCUCUGAGACGUGGUGUCUUGUAUUUAUCAC